UGGAAUCGCUAGUAAUCGCGAAUCAGAAUGUCGCGGUGAAUACGUUCCCGGGUCUUGUACACACCGCCCGUCACACCAUGGGAGUCGGGAAUGCCCGAAGUCAGUGACCCAACCUAUUGGAGGGAGCUGCCGAAGGCAGGUCUGAUAACUGGGGUGAAGUCGUAACAAGGUACC
rnacentral:rRNA from 1 species